CAGGCUGCAACCCGCCCUGUAUGAAGUUGGAAUCGCUAGUAAUCGCGGAUCAGCAUGCCGCGGUGAAUACGUUCCCGGGCCUUGUACACACCGCCCGUCACACCAUGAGAGUCGGGAACACCCGAAGUCCGUAGCCUAACCGCAAGGGGGCGCGGCCGAAGGUGGGUCCGAUAAUUGGGGUGAAGUCGUAACAAGGUAUC
rnacentral:rRNA from 1 species